CCUUUUUCACAUUUUCUUACAAUUUUUUUUUUCUGGGUAGCUCGUGUCUGAUUUUCCCAGCCAAAUUUGAUCUACCUCCUCCUUUUCUUCUCUCCAUGGAUCUGUUCUUCUCCUGUUGAUCUAGAUCGAGUAUUUAAAGGACUUGUUUACCCCCCCCCUCUCAGAUAUGUUCUGAAGGAACUCUCAACUGAUUUGGCCUUUCACUCCUUCUUACUCUCUUCUGAUCUCGCGACCUAAAUUUAGGGCUUUCUCUUUUUCCGAGCUCUCAUGGUUGGGAGAGUGAAGGUCCCCUGUUGUUCCGUGUGCCAUACGCGGUAUAAUGAAGACGAGAGAGUUCCCCUAUUGCUCCAAUGCGGCCAUGGCUUCUGCAAAGAUUGUCUUUCCAAGAUGUUCUCUACUUCUUCCGACACUACCCUCACUUGUCCCCGCUGCCGCCACGUGUCUGUUGUUGGCAACUCUGUCCAGGGCUUGCGCAAGAACUACGCUAUGCUUGCCCUCAUCCACGCCGCUUCCGGCGGCCCUAACUUCGAUUGCGAUUACACCGACGACGACGAUGACGAUGAAGACGACGAAGACGAUUCAAGCGACGAAGACAGAGCUCGUUCCCCCCGCGGAUUUCAUGCCUCCACCUCAAUUAAUAGCUCUUGUGGUCCAGUCAUCGAGGUUGGAGCUCACCCGGAGAUGAAGCUGGUCAGGCAGAUUGGGGAAGAGAGCGGUGCUGGUUUCGGAGGAGUGCAGAUGUGGGAUGCGACUGUUGCAGGCGGUGGUGGAAGGUGCAAGCACCGUGUGGCGGUCAAAAAGAUUACUUUGACGGAAGAUAUGGAUGUAGAUUGGAUGCAGGGACAGCUUGAGAGCUUGCGGAGAGCAUCGAUGUGGUGUAGGAAUGUUUGUACUUUCCAUGGGGUUGUGAAGAUGAAGGCUUCUCUUUGUCUUUUGAUGGACAGGUGUUAUGGCUCUGUUCAGUCUGAGAUGCAACGCAAUGAAGGCAGGCUCACUUUGGAGCAGAUUUUAAGAUAUGGGGCUGAUGUUGCUCGAGGGGUUGCAGAACUCCAUGCAGCAGGUGUUAUAUGUAUGAAUAUAAAACCUUCCAAUCUUCUUUUGGAUGCAAGUGGCAAUGCUGUGGUUUCUGAUUAUGGGCUCGCUCCCAUCCUAAAGAAGCCAACAUGCCAGAAAACUCGACCAGAGUAUGAUUCCUCAAAGCUCACUCUAUACACGGACUGUGUAACACUCAGUCCACACUACACUGCACCAGAGGCUUGGGGCCCAGUGAAAAAACUUUUUUGGGAGGAUGCAAGCGGUGUAUCCCCAGAGUCGGAUGCAUGGAGUUUUGGUUGUACGUUAGUAGAGAUGUGCACUGGAUCCACUCCUUGGGAUGGUCUUAGUAGAGAAGAAAUUUUUCAAGCUGUUGUGAAAGCUCGAAAAGUACCACCACAGUAUGAACGCAUAGUAGGUGUGGGAAUUCCUCGAGAAUUAUGGAAAAUGAUUGGUGAAUGCCUUCAGUUCAAACCGUCGAAAAGACCAACCUUUAAUGCCAUGCUUGCUACAUUUCUCCGUCAUCUACAAGAGAUACCACGUAGCCCUUCAGCAAGCCCUGAUAAUGGGAUUACCAAAAUAUGUGAAGUAAACAUUGUAGAAGCAACUCGCGCGACUAACAUAGGGGUCUUUCAGGAUAACCCUAACACCCUACAUCGGGUUAUUUUGGAAGGAGACUGUGAGCGUGUAAGAAAUAUACUAGCAAAGGCUGCAGCGGGAGGUGGUGGAAGCUCUGUGCGAUCUCUAUUAGAGGCGCAAAACGCUGAUGGUCAAUCUGCUCUUCACUUGGCUUGCAGACGUGGUAGUGCUGAACUUGUGGAGGUUAUAUUGGAGUAUGGAGAAGCGAAUGUAGAUAUUGUGGACAAAGAUGGGGAUCCUCCUCUUGUAUUUGCUUUAGCAGCUGGAUCUCCACAAUGUGUUCAUGUUCUCAUUAAAAAGGGGGCUAACGUGAGGUCCAGACUGCGGGAAGGAUCUGGCCCAUCUGUAGCUCAUGUGUGUUCGUACCAUGGCCAACCUGAUUGUAUGCGUGAAUUGCUGGUAGCUGGAGCUGAUCCAAAUGCAGUGGAUGAUGAAGGUGAAACAGUGCUUCAUCGAGCUGUUUCCAAGAAAUACACAGAUUGUGCCGUUGUUGUAUUGGAAAAUGGGGGAUCUAGAUCAAUGGCUGUGUCAAAUGCAAAGUGCCUGACACCGCUACAUAUGUGUGUAGCAACAUGGAAUGUUGCUGUUAUCAAGAGGUGGGUGGAAGUUUCCAGUCCAGAAGAAAUUUCUCAGGCGAUUAAUAUCCCUAGUUCAGUUGGCACUGCUCUGUGUAUGGCUGCUUCUCUAAAGAAAGAUCAUGAAAAGGAAGGUAGAGAGCUGGUUCAGAUAUUGCUUGCAGCUGGGGCAGAUCCGACUGCGCAAGAUUCUCAGCAUGGGCGAACAGCGUUGCAUACUGCUGCUAUGGCUAACAAUGUGGAACUUGUGCGAGUCAUUCUAGAUGCUGGUGUGAAUGCGAACAUCCGCAAUGUUCACAAUACAAUUCCUCUUCAUAUGGCUUUGGCCAGAGGCGCAAACUCCUGUGUUAGCCUACUUUUGGAGUCUGGUUCCGACUGCAAUAUACAGGAUGAUGAAGGAGACAAUGCAUUCCAUAUAGCAGCAGAUGCAGCAAAGAUGAUACGUGAAAACCUUGAUUGGUUAAUUGUGAUGCUUAGAAGUCCUGAUGCUGCUGUGGGCGUCAGAAACCACAGUGGCAAGACAGUACGUGACUUCAUAGAAGCCCUUCCAAGAGAAUGGAUUUCAGAGGAUCUGAUGGAAGCACUAUUAAAAAGAGGAGUUCAUUUAUCACCUACAAUCUAUGAGGUAGGGGAUUGGGUGAAGUUCAAGAGAGGCAUAACAACACCCUUACAUGGAUGGCAAGGUGCUAAGCCUAAGAGUGUUGGGUUUGUUCAAACAAUUCUUGAGAAGGAGGACAUGAUUGUUGCAUUUUGUUCUGGUGAAGCUCGUGUGUUGGCAAGUGAAGUUAUUAAGCUGAUUCCGUUGGACAGGGGCCAGCAUGUAAGACUCAGAGCAGAUGUUAAAGAGCCAAGGUUUGGUUGGCGUGGCCAAUCACGUGAUAGUGUCGGUACUGUUUUAUGUGUUGAUGAAGAUGGGAUCUUACGAGUUGGGUUUCCUGGAGCAUCUCGAGGCUGGAAAGCUGAUCCUGCCGAAAUGGAACGAGUGGAAGAGUUCAAAGUCGGGGACUGGGUCCGUAUCCGUCAGAAUCUGACCUCAGCAAAACAUGGUUUUGGAUCUGUUGUCCCGGGGAGUAUGGGGAUUGUUUACUGUGUAAGGCCAGAUAGCAGCCUCCUUGUGGAGUUAAGUUAUCUUCCCAAUCCCUGGCAUUGUGAACCCGAGGAAGUUGAACCUGUUGCUCCCUUUAGGAUUGGUGACCGGGUGUGCGUAAAGCGGUCAGUUGCCGAACCUCGGUAUGCUUGGGGUGGGGAGACCCAUCACAGUGUUGGCAGAAUUAGUGAAAUAGAGAAUGAUGGUCUCCUUAUAAUUGAAAUACCAAAUCGACCUAUUCCGUGGCAGGCAGAUCCUUCGGACAUGGAAAAGAUUGACAAUUUCAAGGUUGGCGACUGGGUCAGAGUGAAGGCGUCUGUGUCUUCCCCAAAAUAUGGAUGGGAAGACAUUACUCGGAACAGUAUUGGCGUUAUGCACAGCUUAGACGAAGAUGGUGAUGUAGGUAUAGCGUUCUGUUUCAGGAGCAAGCCUUUUUCAUGUUCUGUGACAGAUGUUGAAAAGGUUGUACCCUUUCAUGUGGGGCAAGAGAUUCAUAUGAUACCAUCUAUCACCCAACCACGCCUUGGAUGGUCAAAUGAGACUCCAGCGACUAUUGGUAAAAUAAUGAGAAUCGACAUGGAUGGGACUCUGAGUGCACAGGUGACUGGUAGACAGAUAUUGUGGAGAGUCUCACCUGGAGAUGCAGAGCUUCUCUCAGGUUUUGAAGUUGGUGAUUGGGUGCGCUCAAAACCAAGCCUGGGAAACAGACCAAGCUAUGAUUGGUUUAGUGUAGGAAGGGAGAGUAUUGCUGUCGUUCAUAGCAUACAGGAAGCAGGUUACUUAGAGUUGGCUUGUUGUUUCCGGAAAGGAAGAUGGAGUACUCACUACACAGAUUUAGAGAAGAUUCCAGCUCUCAAAGUGGGCCAGUUUGUGCAUUUUCAAAAGGGCUUAACAGAACCAAGAUGGGGUUGGAGAGGAGCCAAGCCCGAUUCACGAGGCAUCAUAACCACUGUUCAUGCUGAUGGAGAGAUUAGGGUUGCUUUCUUCGGAUUGCCGGGGUUGUGGAGAGGAGAUCCAGCAGACUUGGAAGUGGAGCCUAUGUUUGAGGUUGGAGAAUGGGUAAGACUUAGAGAAGGUGUUCCUAGUUGGAAAACCGUUGGACCAGGAAGUGUUGGUGUAGUCCAUGGAGUAGGAUAUGAGGGAGACGAAUGGGAUGGCACCACUUCUGUUUCGUUUUGUGGCGAGCAAGAAAGAUGGGCGGGGUCCUCUUCGCACCUAGAGAAAGCAAAGAAGCUUGUGGUUGGACAAAAAACUCGGGUCAAACUGGCAGUGAAACAGCCUAGGUUUGGGUGGUCAGGGCAUAGCCAUGGGAGUAUAGGUACCAUAGCAGCCAUUGAUGCGGAUGGUAAGCUACGGAUAUACACACCAGCCGGUUCUAAAACGUGGAUGCUUGACCCAUCGGAAGUGGAAACCAUAGAAGAAGAAGAGCUCAGGAUUGGGGACUGGGUUAGGGUUAAGGCAAGCAUCACAACACCCACUUACCAGUGGGGAGAGGUCAAUCCUUCAAGCAUAGGGGUGGUUCACAGAAUGGAAGAUGGAGACUUAUGGGUAUCUUUCUGUUUCCUCGACAGGCUAUGGCUAUGCAAAGCUGCGGAACUGGAACGUGUAAGACCAUUCAGAAUGGGAGACCCGGUUAAGAUAAAGGAUGGACUGGUUACACCUCGGUGGGGUUGGGGAAUGGAGACUUAUGCAAGUAAAGGACAUGUUGUGGGAGUAGAUGCAAACGGGAAAUUGAGAAUAAAAUUUCUGUGGAGGGAAGGGAGGCCAUGGAUUGGUGAUCCUGCGGAUAUCGUUCUAGAUGAAACUUCUGGCUGAAUCUCCCAAUGUAUGAUUAUGUUUUGAAUCUGGAAGAUUGGUCAUUAGGCGAUGCAUGAGGCUGCUCUGUCCAUUGUAAGACAUAAAGCUCACAAAGCCCUUGUGCGAACAGGUCAGAAGAAGCCUUCUUCCAAGGCACAUUUCAUCCAUGCAUGCCUACAAUUCUCUAGUGCCUCAGGAAUUUCAAGCCAUGUCCGAGUUCUCAAUUCUUGUUCUGGCCAUGAAUCCAGCUCUUCUUUCACAUACAGUGCGUAGAUUGGAGCUUUACAUACACCAUCUGGGCUAAACUCGUUUUGGUGACUCUUGCUCUUGAACUCAUAUUCUCCUAUCCGAUCCUGCAAAUUAUUUUUAUAGAUUCAGUACAAAGUAUGUGUGCUUUCCUAGCCAUUACAAAUGUUAUCAUGGGGCAAACGGUUCUCAGGUUGCUCUGUCCAGGGAGAGGCUGGACCAGUCUGCAUUCUUUUAGCCCGUGAUAACAUUCAUACAAAAAAAGAUUUAAAAAGAUGGGUGUGGAUAAAGUCCCUCGAUCAAAUCA